rnacentral:rRNA from 1 species
AUUGAACGCUGGCGGCAGGCUUAACACAUGCAAGUCGAGCGGGGUGAUGGUGCUUGCACUAUCACUUAGCGGCGGACGGGUGAGUAAUGCUUAGGAAUCUGCCUAUUAGUGGGGGACAACAUCUCGAAAGGGAUGCUAAUACCGCAUACGUCCUACGGGAGAAAGCAGGGGAUCACUUGUGACCUUGCGCUAAUAGAUGAGCCUAAGUCGGAUUAGCUAGUUGGUGGGGUAAAGGCCUACCAAGGCGACGAUCUGUAGCGGGUCUGAGAGGGGGAUCCGCCACACUGGGACUGAGACACGGCCCAGACUCCUACGGGAGGCAGCGGUGGGGAAUAUUGGACAAUGGGGGGAACCCUGAUCCAGCCAUGCCGCGUGUGUGAAGAAGGCCUUAUGGUUGUAAAGCACUUUAAGCGAGGAGGAGGCUCUUUUGGUUAAUACCCAAGAUGAGUGGACGUUACUCGCAGAAUAAGCACCGGCUAACUCUGUGCCAGCCGCCGCCGCAG